UCACUCGAGUUUCUCUUCAGAUCGCAUAAAUCUUUCGCCUUUUACUAAAGAUUUCCGUGGAGAGGAACACUGAGAGUAACAUCCAAUUUUUGACGCCCUGCUUCACUGCGGGGCU
ensembl:snRNA U5 U5 spliceosomal RNA